rnacentral:rRNA from 1 species
CACCAUGUGUGCGGGUUGCAAACGAAGUAUCUAGCUUACCCUUCGGGAGGGCGCUUACCACUUUUCGAUUCAUGACUGCGGCGAAGUCGCAACAAGGUAACCGCAGGCGAACCUGCGCUUGGAUCACCUCCUUACCUGAAAGAAG